UUGAGUCGGCCCCUAAGGCGAGGCAGAGAUGCGUAGCUGAUGGGAAACAGGUCAAUAUUCCUGUACCGAUGUGUAGUGCGAUGUGGGGACGGAGAAGGUUAGCUCAGCCAACUGUUGGAUAUGUUGGUUCAAGCCUGUAGUCGUGCCUGGUAGGUAAAUCCGCCGGGCUUAGAUGAGUGGUGAUAACGAGGCUGCUUGCAGCCGAAGUGAGUGAUACCCUGCUUCCAGGAAAAGCCACUAAGCUUCAGCUACACACGACCGUACCGCAAACCGACACUGGUGCGCGAGAUGAGUAUUCUAAGGCGCUUGAGAGAACUCAGGAGAAGGAACUCGGCAAAUUGACACCGUAACUUCGGAAGAAGGUGUGCCUUUAGUAGGUGAACCAUUUACUUGGGGAGCCCAAUGAGGUUGCAAAAAAUCGGUGGCUGCGACUGUUUAUUAAAAACACAGCACUCUGCAAACACGAAAGUGGACGUAUAGGGUGUGACGCCUGCCCGGUGCUGGAAGAUUAAAUGAUGGGGUGCAAGCUCUUGAUUGAAGUCCCAGUAAACGGCGGCCGUAACAAUAACGGUCCUAAGGUAGCGAAAUUCCUUGUCGGGUAAGUUCCGACCUGCACGAGUGGCGUAACGAUGGCCACACUGUCUCCUCCUGAGACUCAGCGAAGUUGAGAUGUUCGUGAUGAUGCAAUCUCCCCGCGGAAAGACGGAAAGACCCCAUGAACCUUUACUGUAGCUUUGUAUUGGACCUUGAACAGAUCUGUGUAGGAUAGGUGGGAGGCUUUGAAGUAGGGUCGCUAGAUCUUAUGGAGCCAACGUUGAAAUACCACCCUGGUGUGUUUGAGGUUCUAACCUAGGUCCAUUAUCUGGAUCGGGGACAGUGCAUGGUAGGCAGUUUGACUGGGGCGGUCUCCUCCCAAAGCGUAACGGAGGAGUUCGAAGGUACGCUAGUUACGGUCGGACAUCGUGACGAUAGUGCAAUGGCAUAAGCGUGCUUAACUGCGAGACUGACAAGUCGAGCAGAUGCGAGAGCAGGACAUAGUGAUCCGGUGGUUCUGUAUGGAAGGGCCAUCGCUCAACGGAUAAAAGGUACUCUGGGGAUAACAGGCUGAUACCGCCCAAGAGUUCAUAUCGACGGCGGUGUUUGGCACCUCGAUGUCGGCUCAUCUCAUCCUGGGGCUGUAGCCGGUCCCAAGGGUAUGGCUGUUCGCCAUUUAAAGAGGUACGUGAGCUGGGUUUAAAACGUCGUGACACAGUUUGGUCCCUAUCUUCCGUGGGCGCUGCAGAUUUGAGGAAGCCUGCUCCUAGUACGAGAGGACCGGAGUGGACACACCUCUGGUGUAUCGGUUGUCACGCCAGUGGCAUUGCCGAGUAGCUAAGUGUGGAAGAGAUAACCGCUGAAAGCAUCUAAGCGGGAAACUCGUUUCAAGAUGAGAUCUGCCGGGGCCUUGAGCCCCCUAAAGAGUCGUUCAAGACCAGGACGUU
rnacentral:rRNA from 1 species